CCGGCAGGUAUGCAAGACGCUCGCUUGCCUAUGGAAGCCCUCGCAGCGACUCUAAAGAAGUGCCCCAGCCUGCGCCCUGAGUGGGAACUGGCGACGCCAUCAAUCUGCGCUGGGAGGACCCCCUCGGGGUUCAACCAGAAGCUCUUGAAUGAGUUCACAGAUCAAACGAUGGCGGCCACUCGCGAGUGGUUUAGAUAUGACCGGCCCCGGCCCUUAUCGGCCGGCGAAUCUGCGGAACCUGCGGAAGGAUCAUUACUGAGAGGGGUUUUCGGACCCCGGGGGCCCCGGCCCCCAUCUCUUCACCCUAUGUUUACGUACCUUCGUUGCUUUGGCGGGUCUUAGGGCUCGCCCCAUACCGGCUACGAGCCUAGUGCUCCGGUCGGCCCGUGCUCGCCAGAGGCCCAUCAAAUUCUGUUCACCAGUGACGUCCGAGCAAAAACACAAUAGUAAAAAACUUUCAACAACGGAUCUCUUGGUUCUGGCAUCGAUGAAGAACGCAGCGAAAUGCGAUAAGUAAUGUGAAUUGCAGAAUUCAGUGAAUCAUCGAAUCUUUGAACGCACAUUGCGCCCCUCGGUAUUCCGGGGGGCAUGCCUGUUCGAGCGUCAUUGCACCCCUCAAGCUCAGCUUGGUAUUGGGUCUUCGCCCCCACGGCGGGCCCGAAAGUCAGUGGCGGUCCGGCGUAACUUCGAGCGUAGUAAAUCUUCUCCCGCUUUGGAAGCUCGCGCUGCGGCCGGCCAUCAACGCCCAAAUCUUUCAAUGAUUGACCUCGGAUCAGGUAGGGAUACCCGCUGAACUUAAGCAUAUCAGAAAGGGGGAGAAAAACUCU
rnacentral:rRNA from 1 species